rnacentral:rRNA from 1 species
GUACGGAAGGCAGCAGUGGGGAAUCUUGCGCAAUGGACGAAAGUCUGACGCAGCAACGCCGCGUGUGUGAUGAAGGUCUUCGGAUCGUAAAGCACUGUCGCGAGGGAAGAUACACGACCAGAUAACACCUGGGCGUUAAGACGGUACCUCGAGAGGAAGCACCGGCUAACUCUGUGCCAGCAGCCGCGGUAAUACAGAGGGUGCGAGUGUUGUUCGGAAUUAUUGGGCGUAAAGCGCUUGUAGGCGGUCGUUUAAGUCUCAUGUGAAAGCCCUCGGCUCAACCGAGGAAGUGCAUGAGAUACUGGACGACUUGAAUGCCGGAGAGGGUCGCGGAAUUCCCGGUGUAGAGGUGAAAUUCGUAGAUAUCGGGAGGAACACCAGUGGCGAAGGCGGCGACCUGGACGGACAUUGACGCUGAGACGCGAAAGCGUGGGGAGCAAACAGGAUUAGAUACCCUUGUAGUCA